UCCACUUUAGUUUAGUGGUAGAAUUGCCCGCAUCGUUACGUCGGGAAGCUGGGGGUUCGAUUCCUCGAGGUAGCG